GGAUAAUUAACUCAAUUGGUAGAGUAUUUCGUUUACACCGAAAAUGUUAGCGGUUCGAGUCCGUUAUUAUUCA
rnacentral:tRNA from 1 species